rnacentral:lncRNA from 1 species
GUAAUGGAUUGUUCCAGACCCCUGACCUCCCUUGAAGAUGUCUUUUUGUUGGAUCUGGCCCUGUAUAUUUUCCAGUUGGUUCAAGACCUAGAGAAAUUUCUACAGACUCUCUCAUACCAGAAUGACAAGACCCAAAUGGGAGAAUUAGGCCAGAAGCAACAAUGCCCUCAGGCUUAGUGAAAUUGACCAAAGUUUGAAGAAGUUAUCGCAAACAGUGUGGCCAUUUCUCCUCAGACACUGGACAUCCUACAUCUGUUAUAUGGUUUACCAUCCAUCCACUUCCUUGCUAUAGCUCCAGGUCCACAAUUCUUUGUCAUGUCAUUGCUCUUGACCUAUACCAUGACUGAUAACCAUGUACAUUUUUAAGAAAAAAAUG